rnacentral:lncRNA from 1 species
AGCAUGUGGCACUAGCCACAUUCCAGGUGCCCUGAAGCCACAUGUGGCAGGAGCUACCGCACCGGGCCAGCAGAGAUCUGGAAUGAGAAGCCCACAGGAUAGGAGCUUCUGCCCCGACCCCUGCCCCCUCCCUGUGAUAGUGAGGAGGGACCUCUGGAGGCAGAAGGUGAAGUGAGCCCCUGAGAAAUACAGGGCAGAGCCCCCCUUUUGCUGGGGGUGGGAGCAACUUUCUGGCCUCUGAGGCAUUACAGUGCCCCAGCAGGGGCUCUCUGGGGGAGGCAGACUAAUGACCACUUCGCCAGGAUAGGGGCCGGGCUGGGGCAGACACUGAGCUCUCCUUUCCAGAGUCUCCUGGCAACUAGAGCAGCUGGUUUGGAGGGAAGAGCCUGACAGCUGGGCUUGGGUACUUCUCAUUCCCAGUCAGUGCCUAGUCUUCUGGCUGUAGCAUCUAAGGUAAGGCCCCUCUUGGAACUGCACCAUCACUCAAAUGGGAAUAGCUGUGAUCAACCCUGCUUUAAAGGCUGUAAAAAGGUUUCUUAUACAAAGACAGUAUGCUUGUAAGCCAUGAACGUGCGCGAGGAAAAGAGAAAGUGAGGAGGGAGGGAGGGAGCCCCUUUUGAGGCCGCCCCUCCCUUGGUUGGCUAUUGCUGGCUGUACUCCCAGAGUCUGCAGGGGCCCUCCAACUUCAGUGGGAGGCUGGAGAAAGAGGGUAGGAUGGGCGGCCCAGAAAGGGUGUGAUUUUCUGAGAGCCACACAGCACAUCCAGCAGUGGGUGAGCUGGACACGCUGGGGUGGGGCCAGGAUACCCAGGACCUCCUUCUCAGCUGCUCUAGGCGCGAGGGUUUGUGGGAAGGAGUGGACAGGGCUAUUUCAGGGCAAUGCAAAGGCAGCCGAGUGCUGGCUGGGAGGCCCUCGUGGGUCUAGUCUGACAUUUUCUGCUGAUGCUGGGAGCCAGGGAAGGGGACCUGGAAACCUGAAUCUCACACCUGGGCCAGCUGAUCUUGUGCCCAAGUGGUCCCAGCCCCUACUUCCCACUGGUCUUCCCUGUCCUAGCUGCACAAUUGCCCUGCCUGGGGAGGAGUGUGGAGAGAAGCACCAGGCUACCCCAGGACCAAGCCCCCAGCCCACCUGCCAGGUCCCGAGAGCCACAGUGAGCCCUCAGUUAUAUCUUUGUUUUUGUUUUUGUUUUUGAGUUUCACUCUUUCCAGGCUGGAGUGAAGUGGCGCAAUCUUGGCUCACUGCAACCUCCGCCCCCAGAAUUCAACGAUUCUCCUGCCUCAGCCUCCGGAGAAGCUGGAUUAUAGUCAAACCACCAUACCCGCUAAUUUUUGUAUUUUUAGUAGAGACGGGGUUUUGCCAUGUUGGCCAGGCUGGUCUUGAACUCCUGACCUCAGGUGAUCAACCUGCCUCAGCCUCCCAAAGUGCUAGGAUUACACUUUGAGGUGCCCAGCCCCUCAGUUAUUUCUUUUGCAGACUGCAACUAAGGGAUAGAUCUGGGAUUUAACUUUAUUUAUUUAUUUAUUUAUUUAUUUAUUUAUUUAUUUAUUUUUAGACAGGAUCUCCCUCAGUCACCCAGGCUGGAGUGCAGUGGCACAAACAUGGCUCAUGGCAGCCUCAACAUCCUGGGCUCAAGAGAUCCUUCCACCUCAGCCUCCCAAGUAGCUGGGACCCUAGGCACGCAACACCACAUCUAGCUAAUUUUUUGUAUUUUUGGUAGAGACCAGAUUUUGCCACGUUACCCAGGCUGGUCUCAAACUCCUGGGCUCAAAUGAUCUGCCUGCAUCAGCCUCCCAAAGUGCUGGGAUUAUAGGUGUGAGCCACCUGGCCCAGCCUCUUCUUUUACUUAUUUAUGUAUUUAUUUUUACACAGGGUCUUGCUCUGUCACCCAGGAUGGAGUACAGUGGCAUGGUCAUAGCUCACUGCAGUCUACAACUGCUGGACUCAAGUGAUCCUCCCUCCUCAGCCUUGCAAGUAACUAGGACUACAGGUGCAUGCACCUGUAGUGCAUUAGCACAGCGAGCUAAUUUUUUUUCUUUUUUUGUGCAGAUGGGGCUUCUCAAUGUUGCCCAGGCUGACCUUGGACUCCUGGCCUCAAGUAAUUCUCCCACCUCUGCCUCCCAAAGUGUUGUGAUGACAGGUGUGAGCCACUGCACUUGGCCUUUCUUUUUUUUUGAAACGGAGUUUUGCUCUUGUUGCCCAGGCUAGAGUGCAAUGGCACAAUCUCGGCUCACUGCAACCUCCCCCCUCCCAGGUUCAAGCGAUCCUCCUGCCUCAGCCUCCUGAGUAGCUGGGAUUACAGGCAUGCACCACCAUGCUUGCCUACUUUUGUAUUUUUUAGUAGAGACAGGGUUUCUCCAUGUUGGUCAGGCUGGUCUCGAACUCCCAACCUCAAGUGAUCCGCCCGCCUUGGCCUCCCAAAAUGCUGGGAUUACAGGCAUGAGCCACCGCGCCCGGCCUUUCUUUCUUUCUUCUUCUUCUUCUUCUUUUUUUUUUUUUUUUUUUUUGAGAUAGAGUCUUACUCUGUUGCCCAGGCCAGAGUGCAGUGGCAUAAUCUUGGCUCACCACAACCUCCACCUCCCAGGUUCAAGCGAUUCUCCUGCCUCGGCCUCCCGGGUAGCUGGGACUACAGGCAUGUGCCACCAUGCCCAGCUAAUUUUUGUAUUUUUAGUAGAGACAGGGUUUCGCUAUGUUGGCCAGGCUGGUCUUGAACUCCUGACCUCGUGAUCUGCCUGCCUCAGCCUCCCAAAGUGCUGGGAUGACAGGUGUGAGUCACCACACCUGCCAUUUCUUUCUUCUUGUUUCAGGUUUCUUCCUUCUUGGUUCCAUCCUACAAAGAACUGUUUCCAUAGACAUCCUCUCUGUACAGCUACUUUCAGCCUAUUCUUCCCAGUUAGAGACUUACAGUGAUUCCUAGUGUCUACCAAAUUCCCUUUCAAACUCCUUGGUUUGGGAUUCCAAGAGCCCUUCACCAUCAAGCUCUUUCCACCUGACACAAACAGUAACCUUGUUUCCGGCCCAACUUGCUGUGCCAACUGGCCCUGCCUAAGGCUGUCCAGCCUCUCUGCCUUUGCCUGGGCCGCUUCUCCUCCUGCAACAUCCUUCUUCCUCUCCACACCCAAUUCUGCUGAUUGAAAUCCAUCCAUUCUGAAAGACCUGGCUCAAAUGCCACCUCUUCUGGGAGGAAUCCUUACCAGGUAGCCUCAUCAGAAAUGCUUGCCCUCCUCUGAUCCAUCUCCCGUAGCCCCUUGCAUGUCCCAGGCCCUGGAUCUUUCUCUCUCACAGCCUCAGACUCCCGGUAAGCCUCUGGAAAUGGAAGCCCCUGGAGGGCAGAGCUAUCCCAGCUGUCCAUGAGUCCUCUCGGAACCCAUUUCCCACCAUUGCACUUCCUGCCCUGCUCGCUCCCCACCCCAAGGUAACACCAAGGUCGGAUGUGAGAAAAAAAUAGAUGAAACAAGAUUUUGCACAUCACAUUGUAAAACCCGCUCAGGCGCUCCCCUCCUCCCAAUAUUCUUACUGGACUCCCGCCUACCCUUGGCUCUGGUCCCUCUGGCUCCUCCCCAUCCACCCAGUCCAGAUGUCCAAGCCUGAGCAGCUCACCUGGAGAGACACCGUGUCUCUGUCUCCAUCUCUUAGUCUGGGUCUCUGUCUGUGCUGCCAGUAGACCUCUGGCCUCCCCCAUCAGACUGGGAUCACUGGGAAUGUGAGGACCUACCUUUUUUUGUCUUUGUCUCCUUUUCCCAUCCCAUUCAGUGGAGGAUUUCAAAAAGCUUUGGAGACACACUUAACAAGAUAAAAAAUGAGAGAGGAAGCUGGAGGUGGGAGAGGUCCUGCUUCCUCCUCCCCCAGCCUCGGUCUCUGGCACCUUGCCAAGGUCACCUUUCAGAGCAACCUAUCACGGGCCUUUGUCAGGAUCAUUCAUCCUCCUUUCCAGCGCCCUCCGCCCUUGCCAACCCACCAGACUCUGUUGCCACUCCAGGCCCUGCCGCCACUCCAGGCCCUGCCAGCCCCAGCUCGCCUUACCAGUCCCUCACGCUCCAACUCUCUCCCUCUCCCCCCCAUCUGCAACCACAGCACAUCACAGCUGUCUGAUUAGCUCAAUUGAUUAAUUAAGCUCUAAUGAGAGCCGUGACUCACCCCUACAGCUGCUGACCAGGAGGCCAGCCGUGCCCAGAAGGCCACUGAGGCUGCAGACAUGGUCUUAUGAGGGCCCAGGGGCAGGCAGCUCAGUGGUUGGUACCACUGAGCCAUUUGCAGGGCACAAAGCUUGCCCAUGGCUAGGUCUCUCCAAAAGCCUCCAUGGUGAGGGGUGGGCAGAGGGGUUGCUCCCUCAACCAAUCAGUGAGUUCCAGGAUCUGGCACCAACUCUGCUGAAGUCAGGGAGGGCAGAGCAGACAUUGAUUGGCUGAGAGGUGCAGGGAGGGGAGUAGAUCCCUUCAGAGUCCCACCUUGACUCCUGGGGCUUAGCAUGCCCCAGGCCCAGAGGAUAGUGAGCGUGGGGAAGCUGGGCACUGGCCAGAGGAACCAGACUUAGCCCUGCCAGCAGCCACCAACCCUGUGGUUUCUUUGCUCUGUCGCCCAGGCUGGAGUGCAAUGCUGCGAUCUUGGCUUACUGCAACCUCCAUCUCCCAGGUUCAGUCGAUCCUCCUGCCUCAGCCUCCCGAGUAGCUGGGAUUACAGGCACGCGCCACCAUGCCCAGCUGGUUUUUAUUUUUAGUAGAGAUGGGGUUUCACCAUGUUGGCCAGGCUGGUCUCGAACUCAUGACCUCAGGUGAUCCACCUGCCUCAGCCUCCCAAAGUGCUAGGAUUACAGGUGUGAACCACCGCACCCGGCCAAACCCUAUGGUUUCUUCCAUCCCCACAACUCCCAGCCAUGUGGUGAGAAAACGCCCCCAUCCAGCUGCUGGCUUCCAGUCUCGAAUAGCCACAAGGACUCUGCAGAGCAAGUCCUCGAUUCCCAUUCCUCCCACCUCCGGCCUCCCUCACCACCCCGACCACUGACCCACCCCGCCCCCAGACUCUGUCCCUUGUCUAGGAUAGGGGACAAAUGCCCUCCAUUAGCAACAAUCAUUGGCUGGGCACAAUGGGUCACUCCUGUAAUUCCAGCACUUAAUCACGCCUUAAUCCUCAACCUUGGGAGGCUGAGGUGGGAGGAUCACUUGAGGCCAGUAGUUUGAGACCAGCCCAGGCAACAUAGCAAGACCCCUGUCUCUACACAAAAUUUUAAGAAAGAAAAUUAGCCAGGUAAGGUUGCUCACGUUUGUAAUCCCAGCUACUGGGGAAGCUGAGGCAGGAGGAUUGCUUGAGCCCAGGAGUUCGAGGCUGCAGUGAGCUGUGAUUACACCACUGCACUCCAGCCUUGACAAGGGUAGAAUCUUGUCUCAAAAAAAACAAAAAACGAUCAUCAGUUAAGUGGGAUUUUCCAUCUUACAGACACCUCCAUGUUCGUUCUUCCCCAGAAUCUCACGAGGCAAACUGAGCCAGGAGUUCAUUCUAGAGAUGAGGAAACUGAGACCUCAACUUGCCCAAGAUCACACCCGGGCGUUUCCUGCUUCCCAGCCUUUGCAUUUGUCUUGAGUCACGCACUUCUCUUCAGCUUUGAGACGUCAGCUUAGAGGUCACUUCAGCCAGGAUGCCCCGUCCCCCAGCUGCAGGUGAGGGCCCCCUCUUGUUGUGUUAACUUGCUCACCUCUGCCACGGGCCUGUGAGCACAGCUGCCGCUCUGUCUAUACCUCCCGAUUGCGGGAGGAUCCUGCUCAGGGCCUCACAGGCAGUAGGGACAUAAAGAAUAUUUAGAGUGGAGGAAAGAAAGGGAGGAGGGAAGAAAUGAAUGAGCCACACAUGGCAGAUAGUCUGAGCCCCCAGUCAAAUGCUGAGAGGGAGGACAUGGUGGAGGACCAAGCAGGGCUGCCCAGUCUGGUCAUGUCAGCUGUUGAUGUGCAGGGAGCCCCUGCUGCACAGCCCGCUGGCCCAGAGAUCAUGCAGGUAGUCACUUCCCCUCCCUGCUGCAGAGAGGUUAGGGUGGGACCAGGAAAUCCUGGGAGAUGGUGGAGGAAGAUGGGCAGAGCAGGAGAGAGUGGGGAGGGCCUGGGAGUCAGGAAACCUGAAGUGGAGAUUAAAGCAGUGGCUGGGUCAGGCACAGUGGCUCACAUCUGUGAUCCCAGCACUUUGGGAGGCUGAGGCAGGUGGAUCACCUGAGAUCAGGAGUUUGAGACAAGCCUGGUCAACAUGGUGGAAACCCGUCUCUACUAAAAAUACAAAAAUUAGCUGGGUGUGGUGGCAUGCGCCUGUAAUUCCAACUACUUGGGAGGCUGAGGCAGGAGAAUCACUUGAACCCGGGAAGCAGAGGUUGCAGUGAGCUGAGAUCGUGCCACUGCACUCCAGCCUGGGCGACAGAGCAAAAUUCUGUCAAAAAAAAAAACAAAAAAAACAGUGGCUGGAGAGUCCGAGACCUGGGUUGGAGUCCUGGCUUUGCUUGACCUCUCUGGGUGACUGUGGGCAUGUGGCCUCCCCAGUCUGGCCUGUGAACCGAGAAAGUCUGAUGGCAUGGGCUCUGGGCCUGUUCUCCUGUUGAAGUCUGGGAGUUCUGUAGCCCCAAGAGACAUCUGUUACUAGAGGGAGGGAGUGAAAUGGAGAUGGACAGUAGGAGGGGGUUGCAACACCUAUUACCAAUGGUGGGAGGGGUAAUCACAGCCGGGAGCCUCUGGGCCCCACAAGGAGUCUCCACCACUCCCCCCAGCUCCUCUUCUGUCGCUGCCCCUCAGAUUCAAUUACCAGCUCAGCUUUCAAAUCGGGCUCCAGCCAGUAACUUUACUGGAGAAAAUUAUUAUGUGAUUAUUUCAACCUUGCUCCAAACGCUGUUUUAAUUGGAUCUGGGAAAAGGCGAUUUGGGCAUCAGAGGAGCCACGCGGGGGCGGGAGCAGCAUAGGAAUGUCAGGCAGGGGAGCCCCACCUGCCCAUGAGGUUCGAAAGGCAGACAGGACUGCUUCCCAGCCCCCUACCUCUCCCCAGGCCCCCCACGUUCAUCGUAGAUGGAGGGUAAGCCUCAGCCGG